UCUCUUCUGAUUCCCCCCCAAACAGCCCAUUAUCUCUUUAGAAAUAGCAACUCAGCUGCUCGGGGUCCGCCCGCCGCCGCCGCUGAUUGGAGGAUCUCCGGGCUAACCUCGCCAUUGCGACUCUGGUUGGCCGGCCGAGCCGUCAGUCAGCCGGCAUCCACUGGCCAUUCCUGAAUGGCGAACGAGGGUCAACAACAGAGGUAGAAGAGGCAUAUUGGUCACUGUCAUCUGUUCCUCUUCUUGUGGUUCCACGUUAAACGUGAAGCAAAUUACAUACAGAUUUGCAGCAUCUGCUGUCGUUUGGAGGCACAAGAGGCCUUUCCACUGGAUUGGGUGAAUGUGUGACUUCAACUGAAGCUCAGAAAGCAAGUGGGAUUUGCGAGCAAUUUCAAGCCAACAUCUUCUGAUGGACUAACAGCAGCGAGUCGCUGGCUUUGACCUUCCAAGAUACUUGUCUGGCAACUCUAAACUGGAC